UGGGGAAUAUUGGGCAAUGGAGGGAACUCUGACCCAGCGACGCCGCGUGCGGGAUGAAGGCCUUCGGGUUGUAAACCGCUUUCAGCAGGGAAGAAGCGAAAGUGACGGUACCUGCAGAAGAAGCACCGGCUAACUAUGUGCCAGCAGCCGCGGUAAUACAUAGGGUGCAAGCGUUGUCCGGAAUUAUUGGGCGUAAAGAGCUCGUAGGUGGUUCGUCACGUCGGAUGUGAAAAUCUGGGGCUUAACCCCAGACCUGCAUUCGAUACGGGCGAGCUAGAGUGUGGUAGGGGAGACUGGAAUCCCUGGUGUAGCGGUGGAAUGCGCAGAUAUCAGGAGGAACACCAAUGGCGAAGGCAGGUCUCUGGGCCAUUACUGACACUGAGGCGCGAAAGCCAGGGGAGCAAACGGGAUUAGAUACCCCCGUAGUCCCUGAGCGGGCUGGCAAGGCGCAU
rnacentral:rRNA from 1 species